rnacentral:lncRNA from 1 species
AAGUGUGGUUCUUGUAAACUUUGUAUUUUUUCUUUGAUUCAAGGUGCACAUUACAAAACUUUCAACCUUGAAAACUUCUGUCAUUGAUUAUAAUGUCCGAGCUGAAAUUUUGUCAAUGGGAAUGGGCAUUGAUAACUCAGAACAUGUAGAACAACUGAAAAAAUUAUACAAAGGAGCUAAAAUGCCAUCUUUUGAAGAAAGCCUGAACCAGACCCUGAUACCUUCUUCCAGAGAAGACAGUGCUUGUCUGCCAAGCACACAGCAAGAGGACAAGGGCUCAGAGAGAGGAACUGACUCCAAGACAAACUCAGAAAACCAAAAGCAUGAAACUUUACCUAAAAACAAUGGAGGUGCUUCCAUUAACAAAACUACAGAGCCGCCGAAAAGCUUCCACCCACAAAUAAAAUGGUUCCAAAAAGAGGAUGUGGUCAUACUGAAGAUAAAAAUAAGGAAUGUGAAAGAUUAUAAAUGUAAAUACUUUAGAGAUAGAGUUGUCUUCAGUGCCUGGGUAGGAGAGAAAUUUUACUUGGCUGAUUUGGAGCUGCAAGCCAACAUAAUAAAAGAUGAUUGCAAAUGCAUAAUUAAAUAUGACGAACCUGUAAUCACUCUUGCAAAAGAGCAAAGGGAGUCUUGGUGUGGCUUACUCAAACAGAGGAAUCCCAAUGUGGCUUUUGAUUUUGAUCACUGGGAAGACUGUGAUGAGGAUAAGGAGGAUAGCCACUUUGCCAAAGUUGUAAAUUCUAAAAACCUGUCCUGCAGCGUGGCAGGCUUGGUUGAGACCAGUGACAAAAGUUCGGAUGAAGAUGAAAGUGAGAGUGAAUGA